rnacentral:rRNA from 1 species
CCUACGGGAGGCAGCAGUGAGGAAUAUUGGUCAAUGGGCGGAAGCCUGAACCAGCCAAGUAGCGUGCAGGAUGACGGCCCUACGGGUUGUAAACUGCUUUUAUACGGGAAUAACGCGCCUUACGUGUAGGGCUUUGCAUGUACCGUAUGAAUAAGGACCGGCUAAUUCCGUGCCAGCAGCCGCGGUAAUACGGAAGGUCCGGGCGUUAUCCGGAUUUAUUGGGUUUAAAGGGAGCGUAGGCCGCAUGUCAAGCCUGCUGUGAAAUGUCCGGGCUCAACCCGGGCCUUGCAGCGCGAACUGGGGUGCUUGAGUCCGCGGAAAGCAGGCGGAAUUCGUGGUGUAGCGGUGAAAUGCUUAGAUAUGACGAAGAACCCCGAUGGCGAAGGCAGCUUGCUGCAGCGGAACUGACGCUGAUGCUCGAAAGCGCGGGUAUCGAACAGGAUUAGAUACCCCAGUAGUC